UUGAUACACUAAUUUACCAUAAUAUAAUAAAAAUAAGAGUCACUGGUGACUUAGUAUAAUGCAGUUCGAAGGAAGUAACAUUCUCACUGCCCAGAAGUCUAAUAAUUGCCUAGACACAAAUGUCAUAGGUUCUUUCCACUGAAGCAUGCACGAGAUGAAAUAAGAUUAGAUCACAGCUCCACUAAGCACUUCCCACUGAUGUAAUCAACAACUUGGGUGGCAGUUUGAUCAAGUGCAGCGGUUACUGCCACCAGAUUUUCCAAAAAUUCUUCCGGUGUUGGUUUAUCACCAUCCACAAUGUCUGUCACAGCUUUCACAAAAAUGGCAGGAACUUUCAACAGAUCUGCCACAUAAGCUACGGCUGCUCCCUCCAUGUCUUUGAUUGUUGCAUCAUUUGCAAUGAUAGAUGCUUCAUCCAUUGGAGACAUAUCUAGAGAGUCACCAGUAGACAGCUUGCCUACCUUCAAGUUAAGCUCCUUCAGAAGAUUGGGUGUAGCAAAAGCCUUCCGCGAACCAACUCCAUAUAUAUCAAAUACCGGGAUUGGUAUUCUUCUGUCAUGGAAAGCAACUUCUGAUGAAAUAAAAACAUCUCCUAUUGAAGCACCUUUGGCCCCAAAUCCACCUGCUGUGCCAGCAUUUAUGAUGAGGUCUGGCUUUAAUGCUUGGACAGAAGCAUAUGUCACAAGAGAUGCAGAAACCGUGCCCACACCAUCAACCCCCAAUGCUGGGUCUUUCCCAGGACAAACAAUAUUAACGGUGAGACCCUUGUAAUUACCAUAGAACCGCACCCAAGGGACUCCCUUUGGGAACACGGAAUUGAGGUCCUCGGUAAGCUGGAACUUCUUAACAAGAGGUAACGCCUCUGUUUGCAUAGCAACGAUGAAGAGGAUGGUGGAAAUAGGGCGGUUAUCGACUGAGGAAACGGCGGCGGCGGCCUCCUCCUUGACUUCUGCUGACUUAUCGCCGUGAGGAGGAGCCAUUUUUACAGGUAAUUCCUUUGAAAACUUUUUUCGAUUGAGAAAUUG
rnacentral:misc_RNA from 1 species